rnacentral:rRNA from 1 species
GCAAGUCGAGCGGUAGAGAGGUGCUUGCACCUCUUGAGAGCGGCGGACGGGUGAGUAAAGCCUAGGAAUCUGCCUGGUAGUGGGGGAUAACGCUCGGAAACGGACGCUAAUACCGCAUACGUCCUACGGGAGAAAGCAGGGGACCUUCGGGCCUUGCGCUAUCAGAUGAGCCUAGGUCGGAUUAGCUAGUUGGUGAGGUAAUGGCUCACCAAGGCGACGAUCCGUAACUGGUCUGAGAGGAUGAUCAGUCACACUGGAACUGAGACACGGUCCAGACUCCUACGGGAGGCAGCAGUGGGGAAUAUUGGACAAUGGGCGAAAGCCUGAUCCAGCCAUGCCGCGUGUGUGAAGAAGGUCUUCGGAUUGUAAAGCACUUUAAGUUGGGAGGAAGGGCAUUAACCUAAUACGUUAGUGUUUUGACGUUACCGACAGAAUAAGCACCGGCUAACUCUGUGCCAGCAGCCGCGGUAAUACAGAGGGUGCAAGCGUUAAUCGGAAUUACUGGGCGUAAAGCGCGCGUAGGUGGUUCGUUAAGUUGGAUGUGAAAUCCCCGGGCUCAACCUGGGAACUGCAUUCAAAACUGUCGAGCUAGAGUAUGGUAGAGGGUGGUGGAAUUUCCUGUGUAGCGGUGAAAUGCGUAGAUAUAGGAAGGAACACCAGUGGCGAAGGCGACCACCUGGACUGAUACUGACACUGAGGUGCGAAAGCGUGGGGAGCAAACAGGAUUAGAUACCCUGGUAGUCCACGCCGUAAACGAUGUCAACUAGCCGUUGGGAGCCUUGAGCUCUUAGUGGCGCAGCUAACGCAUUAAGUUGACCGCCUGGGGGAGUACGGCCGCAAGGUUAAAACUCAAAUGAAUUGACGGGGGCCCGCACAAGCGGUGGAGCAUGUGGGUUUAAUUCGAAGCAACGCGAAGAACCUUACCAGGCCUUGACAUCCAAUGAACUUUCCAGAGAAUGGAUUGGUGCCUUCGGGAACAUUGAGACAGGUGCUGCAUGGCUGUCGUCAGCUCGUGUCGUGAGAAGGUUGGGGUUAAGUCCCGUAACGAGCGCAACCCUUGUCCUUAGUUACCAGCACGUAAUGGUGGGCACUCUUAAGGAG